UGGGGAAUUUUGGACAAUGGGCGAAAGCCUGAUCCAGCAAUGCCGCGUGUGUGAAGAAGGCCUUCGGGUUGUAAAGCACUUUUGUCCGGAAAGAAAUCCUUGGCUCUAAUACAGUCGGGGGAUGACGGUACCGGAAGAAUAAGCACCGGCUAACUACGUGCCAGCAGCCGCGGUAAUACGUAGGGUGCAAGCGUUAAUCGGAAUUACUGGGCGUAAAGCGUGCGCAGGCGGUUUGCUAAGACCGAUGUGAAAUCCCCGGGCUCAACCUGGGAACUGCAUUGGUGACUGGCAGGCUAGAGUAUGGCAGAGGGGGGAUAGAAUUCCACGUGUAGCAGUGAAAUGCGUAGAGAUGUGGAGGAAUACCGAUGGCGAAGGCAGCCCCCUGGGCCAAUACUGACGCUCAUGCACGAAAGCGUGGGGAGCAAACAGGAUUAGAUACCCUGGUAGUCCACGCCCUAAACGAUGUCAACUAGUUGUUGGGGAUUCAUUUCCUUAGUAACGUAGCUAACGCGUGAAGUUGACCGCCUGGGGAGUACGGUCGCAAGAUUAAAACUCAAAGGAAUUGACGGGGUCAUAGCUGUUUCCU
rnacentral:rRNA from 1 species